UCCUUGUCGGAGAAGUAGUAUAAAGUGGAGAUGACUUCUCACCUCCAAUCAUCCCUCAAACAAUUUCUAACACUACACACUAAAAUUCUCUUUCACAAGCAAGCACCAAGUAUUUUUCAACGAGCUUUUGCACCUCUUCAUUUAAGUUGAGCUAUGAUGGAGUGGAGGGCGCUGAUCCAAGUGGGGCUUACUCUUGUGUCUAUACAGUACUCUCAGAGGUUCAUGUCUUCAUACAUGGAAUUGCGUUCAAUUGUUUCCGAUGUGCUAUUUAAACAAGUUAAAUCUUGUUUUCCCCCUGAAACUCUGACAAUUAAUAAACAGUAUUAUAUGAACCUUUCACUCGAA